rnacentral:rRNA from 1 species
UACGUAGGGCGCAAGCGUUAUCCGGAAUUAUUGGGCGUAAAGAGCUCGUAGGCGGCUUGUCGCGUCGUCCGUGAAAACCAGGGGCUCAACCCCUGGCUUGCGGUCGAUACGGGCAGGCUAGAGUUCGGUAGGGGAGACUGGAAUUCCCAGUGUAGAGGUGAAAUUCGUAGAUAUUGGGAAGAACACCGGUGGCGAAGGCGGCCAUCUGGACCGGAACUGACGCUGAGGCGCGAAAGCGUGGGGAGCAAACAGG